AUUGUCACUGUUGCAAAAUUAUCAGUGAGAGUUAGCAAUCGAGUUCUUCCUGGACAGCUAAACUGCCCUCUUAGUCAGUUAAGAUGUAGCCUGGAGAUGGAAGCCUAGAACUCAGUUCUUUUUUUGGUUCACUGCAGUAGCCCUGGUUGAAGUAAUGCAACCUCUCUUGUCAACGGCCUUCACUGUUGCAUUCAGCUGUGAAUUUUUUAAGGCUUUGUUACCUAUGCUGACAUAAAGAGCUAAUAUUAUUUUCUCUGUACCUACUGGCCUAACAUGGUAAAGAAACACGCUUAAAACAUUCUUCUUCAAAGAAAUUAUUGGCUUGGAAAUAUAUAAUUAGAAAAAAACAUAUUUGAUUGCCUCCUCAAAAUGCCUUACCAUCCACUUCCCUUUACACUUGCUUUACCCUAACUAAUUGGAAAGAAAAAAACAAAUAGUCAAUAUUCUUCACUAUUGCUAUAAAACUGGAACAUAGGAAAUGCUGAGAAAUAAUAUGGCUUAAAUGCUAUGAUUAUAAUUAUGAUGAAAAUUAAUGGGACUAGCUCUCAGUAGGUAUUAUCUGACCAGUAUCAAUAAUUUCUAAUGACGAAUAACUGCUUUGAACUGUUCAAUUACAUCACUUAGAAUCAAUUAUUAGUUUACUUAGCUGUCCUUGAGAAGGAAUAGACCUUCCUUAGAUGAUCAAGAAUAUGGUUAGGCUCAUUCUUUCAGGAACGUCUGAACUAAAUAAGUAUUCUUAAAUUUUCUCUUAAAUAUCUACUUCUUUUCAUCCCCCUUGCAACCAUCCCAGUUUAGACCACCAUUUUCUCUGUCCUGGAAAAGUCUCCCAAAUGAUCUCCCUGCUUCCAGGCCUGCUUCCUUCUAAUCUACUCUCCACACUGCAGACACUAUGAGCUUUCUAAAAUUAAUCUAAUUAUAUGACUCUAUGGAGAUCAAACUCAAAAUCUUGUACAAGGCUUUCAUGACCCUUCAUAAUUUGAUUACAUCUCUAAAUUCAUAAUUUAUUAUGCUUCCUCCUACCCCAACCUAACCUUCUUUCUUCUAAAUUAUAUAUCCUAGCCAUAGUGAAGUUCUUAGUUUGGGGUAUGUACCAUGCUGUUGCUCAUCUCUGGCCCUUUGCUUGGGUUAUGCAAUUUGCCUAUAUCUUCAGGGUUCAUGCACUGUGUCUGGAGCAUUUUAGUGCUCAGCAAAUAUUUGCUGAAUGAAUGGAUGAAUGAAAUAAAGGAACAGGAAGUGAGAUCUGGUAUCUGAUAUGUAGCUGAAGCCAUAUCUCAUUAUUACUACUUAUAGAAAAGAGCAACCAGUUAUCUUAAAUCCAUUAAUCUGAAAGUGUUUCAAUUUAGAAACACUUCGUACCAUGAACACUAAAUUGUUUCUGAAAAUAAAGAAAAUUAAUUACUUUGGCAUUUCUAAGUCUAGUGCCUUUUAAAAAAUAUAUAUACAAACCAACAUUUGUGACACAGAUAGCUAGAAGUAAGAUGAUGAAAUCUCUACCUCUACAUUAAAUUAAUAAUAAUAGUUAAUAGUUAAUUAUGUUUUCUAAUUCUAAGAUAAAAGACAGAUACUUGAACACUAUUCCUGAGGCUUGUGUUACAACAGUUCAAACAAAGAACUCAAAAUCCCAAACCAAAUGUUAUGGAAAAAAAAAUAAAAAAUUUAUAGUUUAGUUUUGAAAAAUGCAAUUAUAAGGACCAAAAUAAACAUUAGGUUGUAUCUACUAGGUUUCGAUAGUUCUCAGAGAGGCCACCAAUCUGGAUGAAUUUAAAUGAGAUAGCACCCUCUCUGAACGUUGAUGUUAUAGCUCCUUUUAUUAGAUUUAUAUUAUAAUGUGUUUUCUUCCUCAAAUGUAUAGUUUUGAUGGGCUUUGUACAUAAAAACAAGUCAAACAAUGGCAUUACUUAAUGCAAUGCAUCUAUAUGUAUAAAACCCAUCACAAACUUAUCUCACCUUAUCAGUACAAUUA
rnacentral:lncRNA from 1 species